rnacentral:tRNA from 1 species
GAGGCCGUGGUGUAAUGGCAACACUGCGGGUUGUGGACCCGCCUUUAGCAGUUCGAGUCUGCUCGGCCUCC